UUAUUUUGUGAGUGGUGCAAUAAUCUGAGCUAGCUAGAUGUGUUGCAGAUAUUUCGCGUGUAUGUGCAUAGCAUUAUUAUCUUUUGCCAUUACUCAUGAAUAAAGGAAGGAGGUUAAUACACUGUGGUUUUCAACUUAUGAGUUUAUGCGUUCUGUUGACCUCUUUUCUCUGAAAAUUUUGAUUAAGUAGAGCUUUUUUGUAUGUAUUAAAUGGAUGGAACUGUUACUUAUUAUUGGUUGUGCAUUGCUAUUAUAUCUAAUAUAUGUUUGGUGGAGAGUUUGAAGUUGUUUCCAGGAUUUUUGCAGAUAAUGGUUGGUUUUGUUGCUUCUUAGUGAGAAGGUGUAGCUGCAAAAAAGCUAUUAGUUUUUAUUUUUUAUCAUAUGACCAUAUGAAUGAUACUGUGUUUCAUCAAAACCUAAGUUUGCUUACUAUUAUAACUUCGCCUCAAUCUCGAACAAGUUGGGUGGGCUACAUGAUUCCUUAGUUUUCCUUUUAAGCUCAACUCAUGAAACUUACUGUGACACCUUACAUCCAAUGCAAUUGGGAAUUCGAAUUACGCUGCUGUAAAGGCUGUAUUUACCGACCCCAAAACUGAUCAAGCAAUCAGAACUCAGAAACCUGUGUAGUCUAAACAUCUCUGGCUCUUCCCAUAUCAAAGGAUCCCUUGUAAUAGCCCAGACGUUAACCAAGAUUUGAGCGUCUUUAGGAAUUGUGUAACUCAUCACUUGGCAGGAUUCAAUAGCACGAUGUGGAAGCAGCAAUGGUGCUGGAGGAUGCAACCUAAGUGUUUCCUUCACACAGGCUUGGACAUAGGAGAUCUGCAGCAAUUGAGAUUCUUUUAGGUACUGUAGUUUGAACCAGCAGAGAGUAACUCCAUAAAUAUCGGUAGCCAGGAUGAAGUGCAGAAGUCUCUGGAUGAGUGAUUGAGGGGAUAAGUUGGUGAACUUCUAAUGGAAGAACAUUUGGUUUUUUGUGUUGACCAUCUCACUGCACCCGAGUCUUGCACUCUCUGCCACGGCCCAAGGAUACAGAAUCCUCUGGAGGCAGAUCUGACUCUCAGACAGUUGGUACGUCCUCAGGUGCUGAUGCUACGGUGGACGAAGGUCCAACAGCUGGAGAUGAAGAAGAGCCAUUACUUCAGACUGUGGAAUGCUGGAUUUGCCAGGAAGAAGAUAGUUUGAAAAAUUUGGAGAUUCCUUGUGGUUGCAGUGGCAGCUUGAAGCUAAAGCCUAAAAUUUGCUAAUACCUGAUAUAUUUUUCUCAAGAACUGAAGAUUUGCAUUGAUUCAACAUUCUACAGAAGCCCGAUAUUUAAGUUUUCUAUCCUCUUCAACAAAAUUUAAAGCAUUGUAAUUCCUAAUUCCUCUAAGCCUCACGUCUGUGAAAUAUUGUUUUAGUUUUUGUUUUUGAAUUGUUUGUCAAUAAGGGUGAUCUGGUUACAUUUUCUUUUCCUUGAUCCCUUUAAUACCAGGCUAGGAGCAAGCAUCAUUGUUACAAAGUAAGACAUGUUUUGAGUAUAUAUAUGUGCUCUAUAGAUAGUCUUCUAUGCUUAGGAUGACUCGAAUGCUCAUGUAUUAGAUGUAUAAUUUUAUUAAGGAUUGUCUUAUAUGCU